rnacentral:rRNA from 1 species
CAGUCGCCACGGGAAUACGGAGGGUGCAAGCGUUAAUCGGAAUUACUGGGCGUAAAGCGCACGCAGGCGGUUUGUUAAGUCAGAUGUGAAAUCCCCGGGCUUAACCUGGGAACUGCAUUUGAAACUGGCAGGCUAGAGUCUUGUAGAGGGGGGUAGAAUUCCAGGUGUAGCGGUGAAAUGCGUAGAGAUCUGGAGGAAUACCGGUGGCGAAGGCGGCCCCCUGGACAAAGACUGACGCUCAGGUGCGAAAGCGUGGGGAGCAAACAGGAUUAGAUACCCCGGUAGUCCCUGUCUCUUAUAC